CGAAGAGUGCAAUCACGGGAGACAGACAUCGGGUGCUAACGUCCGGUGUCAAGAGGGAAACAACCCAGACCGCCAGCUAAGGUCCCCAAAUAUUGCUAAGUGGGAAACGAAGUGGGAAGGCUAAAACAGUCAGGAGGUUGGCUUAGAAGCAGCCAUCCUUUAAAGAAAGCGUAAUAGCUCACUGAUCGAGUCGUCCUGCGCGGAAGAUGUAACGGGGCUAAGCAAUAUACCGAAGCUGCGGAUGCACAUUUAUGUGCAUGGUAGGAGAGCGUUCCGUAAGCCUGCGAAGGUGCAUUGAAAAGUGUGCUGGAGGUAUCGGAAGUGCGAAUGCUGACAUGAGUAGCGAUAAAGGGGGUGAAAGGCCCCCUCGCCGUAAGCCCAAGGUUUCCUACGCAACGUUCAUCGGCGUAGGGUGAGUCGGCCCCUAAGGCGAGGCAGAAAUG
rnacentral:rRNA from 1 species